CUAGCCCUGACAACGGAUCAAACCCACAACCUAGGUAUGUGCCCUGACCUGGAACUGAACCUGAAGUCAUGGUGUACCGAGACGACACUCCAACCACUGAGCAACCCAGCCAGAGCAUCACUCCUGCAUUUUUAACAUCCACAUAACUAUGCAUUGUUACACAAUGUUCACAGUAAUUUCACAUAUCCUCUUUUCACACUCGUAAGAGCUUACACAAGACCCCAGGAGUGCUUUAUCUGAUAAAACUCAGGGGACAUGAAAAUGCUGGAUUCUGGAAAACUUUGAUAGGUGGCUCAAGAAGUGACUGUUGUAGUGUGAAAACACCGACGGAAACUAUUUGUGUGAAGUGUUUUAAUAUAAAACGUCUAUUGUUAAGAAAAAUUAUCGGGCACUUGGAAGAGGCCUGUAUGUCCUUCAAUGCAGUAAUGUGGUGUCCCAGAAGUCUACUGAAACUUGCUGUGAGAGAUAAUAGACUUCGUGUAUGUUAAGCGUUGUAUCAGAUCCUAUGGGAAUGAGUGUUGUACACCAGCCUAAAUGUACCUGGAGUUACUGUCCUUUUAAGGAAUCUGAAGAAUGUUGCCCCUUCUGCAGGAACCUUCAUGCUGAGAUGACCCUAUAUCGUUAGUAUGUCACAGCAAGAUGCCUUAACGAAGAGAGUCAGAGUGCAGAUAACUGCCAACAUUAAGUUGAUAUAAACACAGCAAACACAAAGG